rnacentral:misc_RNA from 1 species
AACGCACGAGACCUGCGGACCUGCGGAAGGAUCAUUACAGAGUGUAAAAACUCCUUAAACCCACUGUUUACCUAUCAGAAAACCGUUUCCUUCGGUGGGCGGCCCCAGGGCGGGGCCGAUGCCUUGCGCUCCGGCGCGGGCGCCCGCCGGAGAAGACACCAAAACUCGUAUUGUUAGUAACCACUCUGAGCCUAAAGACAAAUAGUCAAAACUUUCAGCAAUGGAUCUCUAGAUCGGAAG